UGAGGAAUUUUCUGCAAUGGGCGAAAGCCUGACAGAGCAAUACCGCGUGAGGGAUGAAGACUUACUGAGUUGUAAACCUCGGUGCCUUAAGGAAGAAGAUCUGACGGUACUUAAGGUGGAAAGCAUCGGCUAACUCCGUGCCAGCAGCCGCGGUAAGACGGGGGAUGCAAGUGUUAUCCGGAAUUACUGGGCGUAAAGCGUCUGCAGGUGGUUUUAUAAGUCUGCUGUUAAAUCUUGAGGCUCAACCUCAAAUCUGCAGUGGAAACUAUAAGACUUGAGUAUAGUAGGGGUAGAGGGAAUUUCCAGUGGAGCGGUGAAAUGCGUAGAUAUUGGAAAGAACACCGAUGGCGAAGGCACUCUACUGGGCUAUUACUGACACUCAGAGACGAAAGCUAGGGGAGCAAAUGGG
rnacentral:rRNA from 2 species